rnacentral:rRNA from 1 species
UGGGGAAUUUUGGACAAUGGGCGCAAGCCUGAUCCAGCCAUGCCGCGUGCAGGAUGAAGGCCCUCGGGCUGUAAACUGCUUUUGUACGGAACGAAAAGCCUCUUUCUAAUAAAGAGGGGUGAUGACGGUACCGUAAGAAUAAGCACCGGCUAACUACGUGCCAGCAGCCGCGGUAAUACGUAGGGUGCGAGCGUUAAUCGGAAUUACUGGGCGUAAAGCGUGCGCAGGCGGUCUUGCAAGACAGUGGUGAAAUCCCCGGGCUCAACCUGGGAACUGCCACUGUGACUGCAAGGCUGGAGUACGGCAGAGGGGGAUGGAAUUCCGCGUGUAGCAGUGAAAUGCGUAGAUAUGCGGAGGAACACCGAUGGCGAAGGCGGUCCCCUGGGCCUGUACUGACGCUCAUGCACGAAAGCGUGGGGAGCAAACA